UACGGAGGGGGACUAGCGUUGUUCGGAAUUACUGGGCGUAAAGCGCGCGUAGGCGGAUUUGCAAGUCGGGGGUGAAAGCCCGAGGCUCAACCUCGGAACUGCCCUCGAUACUGCAAAUCUCGAGUCCGAGAGAGGUGAGUGGAAUUCCUAGUGUAGAGGUGAAAUUCGUGGAUAUUAGGAAGAACACCAGUGGCGAAGGCGGCUCACUGGCUCGGUACUGACGCUGAGGCGCGAAAGCGUGGGGAGCAAACAGG
rnacentral:rRNA from 1 species